rnacentral:rRNA from 1 species
CGCGGCCUAUCAGCUUGUUGGUGGGGUGAUGGCCUACCAAGGCGACGACGGGUAGCCGGCCUGAGAGGGUGUCCGGCCACACUGGGACUGAGAUACGGCCCAGACUCCUGCGGGAGGCAGCAGUGGGGAAUAUUGCACAAUGGGCGCAAGCCUGAUGCAGCGACGCCGCGUGGGGGAUGACGGCCUUCGGGUUGUAAACCUCUUUCACCAUCGGCGAAGCCCAUAGCUUUUGUUGUGGGUGACGGUAGGUGGAGAAGAAGCACCGGCCAACUACGUGCCAGCAGCCGCGGUAAUACGUAGGGUGCGAGCGUUGUCCGGAAUUACUGGGCGUAAAGAGCUCGUAGGUGGUUUGUCGCGUUGUCCGUGAAAUUCCCUGGCUUAACUGGGGGCGUGCGGGCGAUACGGGCAGACUGGAGUACUGCAGGGGAGACUGGAAUUCCUGGUGUAGCGGUGGAAUGCGCAGAUAUCAGGAGGAACACCGGUGGCGAAGGCGGGUCUCUGGGCAGUAACUGACGCUGAGGAGCGAAAGCGUGGGGAGCGAACAGGAUUAGAUACCCUGGUAGUCCACGCCGUAAACGGUGGGUACUAGGUGUGGGUUUCCUUCCUUGGGAUCCGUGCCGUAGCUAACGCAUUAAGUACCCCGCCUGGGGAGUACGG